rnacentral:lncRNA from 1 species
AUCCUCCAAGCUGGCCUAAUACCCACUUGCAUAUUCCACAGAAAGAGUGUUUCGAAACUGCUCUCUCAAAAGAAAGGUUCAACUCUGUUUGCUGAGUAGAUACAUCAUGAAAAAAGUUCUGACAUUGCUUCUAUCUAGUUUUUAUUGGAAGAUAUCUCCUUUUUCACCGUAGACCUGAAAGCGCUCCAAAUGUCCACUUCCAGAUAGUACAAAAAGAGUGUUUCAAACCUGCUCUAUGAAAGGGAAUGUUCAACACUGGGACUUCAAUUGAAACAUCCCAAAGCAGUUUCUGAGAAUGCUUCUGUCUAGAGUUUACAUGAAGACAUUCCCGUUUCCAACGAAAUCCUCAAAGCUAUCCAAAUAUCCUCUUGCAGAUUUUACAAAAAGUGUGUUUCAGAACUGCUCUAUCAAAACAAAGGUUCAACACUGUCAGUUGAGGGCACACAUCACAAAUAAGUUUCUGAGAAUGCUUCUGUCUAGUUUUUAUGGGAAGAUAUUUCCUUUAUCACCAUACGCCUGAAAGCGAUCCAAAUGUCCACAUCCAGAUACUACAAAAAGAGGGUUUCAAACCUGCUCUAUGAAAGGGAAUGCUCAAAUCUGUGACUUGAAUGCAAACAUCACAAAGAAGUUUCUGAGAAUGCUGCUGUCUCCUUUUUAUAUGUAAUCCCUUUUCCAAUGAAAUCCUCAAAGCUAGCCAAAUAUCCACUUGCAGAUUCCACGAAAACAGUGUUUCAAAACUGCUCCUUCAAAACGAUGGUUCAAUUCUGUUAGUUGAGCAAACACAUCACAAGUAAGUUUCUGAGAAUGCUUCCGUCUAGUUUUUAUGGGAAGAUAUUUCCUUUUUCAACAUAGGCCUGAAAGCGCUCCAAAUGUCCACUUCCAGAUACUACAAAAAGAGUGUUUCAAAUCUGCUCUAUGAAUGGGAAUGUUCUACUCUGUGACUUGAAUGCAACAUCCCAAAGAAGUUUCUGGGAAUGCUUCUGUCUAGAGUUUAUCUGAAGACAUACCCGUUUCCAACGAAAUCCUCAAAGCUAUCCAAAUAUCCUCUUGCAGAUUCUACAAAAAGAGUGUUUCAAAACUGCUCUUUGCAAAGAAAGGUUCAACUCUGUCAGUAGAGGGCACACAUCACAAACAAGUUUCUGAGAAUGCUUCUGUCUAGUUUUUAUGGGAAGAUAUGUCCUUUUUCA